AAGUCGUAACAAGGUAACCGUAGGUGAACCUGCGGUUGGAUCAUUAUUUACACACACACGAUUUACGAAUUGUGUGCAUCGACCCUGUGCAUUUUUAGUACUUGAUACGUGAUUGAGAGUGCUCGUACGUGCUCACGACAAUACAAUAAACUGAGAAGCAAAUAAAAACAACUUUUGACAACGGAUCUCUUGGCUCUC
rnacentral:misc_RNA from 1 species